rnacentral:rRNA from 1 species
UACGUUCCCGGGCCUUGUACACACCGCCCGUCACACCACGAAAGUCGGUAACACCCGAAGCCGGUGGCCCAACCCUCGGGAGGGAGCCGUCGAAGGUGAGAUCGGCGAUUGGGGUG